AUUGAACGCUGGCGGCGUGCUUUACACAUGCAAGUCGGACGGCAGCAUCACUUUCGGGUGGAUGGCGAGUGGCGAACGGGUGAGUAAGACAUCGGAACGUGCCUCAUAGAGGUGGAUAACUUAUCGAAAGAUGAGCUAAUACAGCAUAAACUCUGAGGAGUAAAGGCGGGGACCGCAAGGCCUGUCGCGGUGAGAGCGGCCGAUGUCCGAUUAGCUAGUUGGUUAGGUAAGAGCUAACCAAGGCGAUGAUCGGUAGCUGUUCUGAGAGGAAGAUCAGCCACACUGGGACUGAGAGACGGCCCAGACUCCUACGGGAGGCAGCAGUGGGGGAUAUUGGACAAUGGGGGCAACCCUGAUCCAGCAACGCCGCGUGAAUGAAGAAGGCCUUAGGGUUGUAAAGUUCUUUUGUUAGAGAAGAAAGUUUGUGUGUGAAUAGCAUAUAAAGCUGACGGUAUCUAAAGAAUAAGCACCGGCUAACUACGUGCCAGCCGCCGCGGUAA
rnacentral:rRNA from 1 species